rnacentral:lncRNA from 1 species
AUCUAUCUUUUUCAAUGUUCAUUAUGAUGUUCCAUAAGGUUGAAACAGCCUUGAUCCAGAGCGAUCCUAACACGGACGGACUAACCUUCGCCGAAAGUGAUCAACUUGAUGGUCCCGGGACCUCCGUUGCCCUCGAGGACUUCGACGCUCUUGAUGGCUUGCGGGAGCACCUUGGGGAUGAGGUUAUCAGCAUCGAGGACAGCGGCCUUGAACAUCUUGGCCGGAGGGAUUGGGGUCGUGACCUCGGAGUCGUAACUGACGACACCCAUGAUUUGGAUCCGAAUGGAGUUGCCGAAAUAGAGAAGAGGGUGAUCAGGAAAGGCUGAUUAGCAGUGAUGAAGUUGGUCUCUAGGACUCGGUAGUGAAGAGAAGAGGAUGAACCAAAGCUGACAUAUAUAGAGAGACCGAGUUUGAAGGGUUCUCGUUAUUGGAUAUUUUCUUCAAGUGUGUUCGUUUGGUACAAAAUAGAGAAGAGGAUGAACCGAAGCUGACAUAUAUAGAGAGACCGAGUCUGAAGGGUUCUCAUCAUUGGAUAUUUUCUUCAAGUGUGUUUGUUUGGUACAAAAUAAAUAAUUAAAUAACUAUUUGUAUCAUUUGGUAUAAUUAUUUGAUGAGAAAUUUUUGCAUUAUUGACAGUAAUUUAUAUCUAAAUAUUCCCGUGAAUGAUGAAAAUAUUUUUUAUUCAUUCCUUUUAUAAGUUAUAUGAAAAAAAAUAUUUUUUUACAAAACAAACGAAGCUUAAUAAAAAAAAUCUUAAUCAGUCUGUGGGUUGUUCAAUCAUGCCAUGGACUUUGUUCAUAAAAUAAAAUUUGUCUAUAUGAUAAUGGAAUAUUAGUCAGAGAAGGCACCAUCCUAGAAUGAUACCAAACGUUCUUCCAUUUCCCUUUCAUGUAUAGACUUGACUUUUGAUCCAGGAGCAUUUGCUCAGCAAACUCUCUUGGCUGAGCUUCACUGAUUUCUUACAUAGUGUUACUAUCAUAGAAAAUAUCAAGCCCUUAGCUGCAUAGGUCGCGAUCCACCCAGAUCUCAUCCUACUUCUUUUCAAUCCGUUCGGUAGAGGCCUCGGGAAGAAUUAUCAUCAAUUUCAUACUCAUAAAUAAUAUUCGCUUAACUCUGUGCAGUAGAAAAACUCGAAAAAUCGAGGCACAAUUUUUCCUGCUGGGUGAUCUCGGUGCUUCAUGUUUCUGUUGAGCUUCCAUCGAUAAGAAAAAGUACAGAUUGAUCUCAAUGUUGCACUAAUCCAAUUUAGCAGAAAAAAAUGGGAAAGGUAGUUUGGUAAUUACAAGGCUUUGUUACUUUUAGUCAACAAAGGCUGCUCUGAAAAUCAAGAUGGACGUCUAUAGAUUUUGAAUUUUUCUACUUGCUUUCAUGUGUCUAGUCCUUUUAAAUAAUAUUAUUGCGAACCAUUUUCUGCUAAUUGUCUGGUGGAAGUGUGGUGGAUCAAGCGAGAUUGGCUCACGGGUCACUUGCUCAUUAAACAUUUUUUUAAUUUUCCUUUUUAUCUAACGGUAUAGCGACGUAGAUUUUUAGAAACGCUUUCUUCGUAUUUAAUUUUCUUCUUUUGUCUAGUUCAUCUUGUCGUAGUCACGGACCAUGUGAACGUAUAGGAGAAUGUCCAUGGGUGUUAGAUCAGAUUAAUUAAUGAAUUUCGUCGUAUUGAGACAAAAUUGAUUAAACUUGUCAAUCAUCUCACUGCGACGGAAGAUUCGGAAAAUAUUAAUGCAUAACAACAGCAUAUGUUUUGGGAGAAAAGUAUUGGAGAGGGGCAUGGAUGCAUUGCUGAAGUUAUUUGAUGAGCAUGUCAUAUGUACUAAAUUAAUCUAAAUAGCUAAAUUUGAUGGAAUUCAUAUGAAACCUAAAUGGAACAUAUAGAAAUUAAAAGCCGAAUUUUGCUUUAUAUAAAUACGACGCUAGCUCAUUCUCGAGUCUUUGUCAAAAUUGUGUUGUAGGCAAUUGAAUGUGAACCUCCCUUCCCUUUCACAUAUGAUCGACUCAAAUUUCUCGUACUUCAUUGACUUCCUUGUUUCGCUGUUGAAGCAACAAAAUCACAGCAAUUGAAGUCACCAGAAGUAGCUCGCAUCAAUAAGGACCUUUUCCCUAUGGUCGGUCGAUUUACUGUUCAUCCCACCCCACAAGGAGAUAACCUCGUCACAUUUUCACACAAGCCUGGAUUUGCGAUAAAAGCGCUUUUUGGUGCUUAUUGGAAGAGGCGACCACUAGGAACCGCACCUGUCAGCUCGUUGUACAAUAAGUCUACGGAGCUUAAACAAGUUAUAUGUCCAUUUUUUUCAAUGUUCAUUAUAAUGUUCCGUAAGGUUAAAACCACCUUGAUCGAGAGCGAUCCUAAGUUCCUAAUAUGGAUGGACUAACCUUUGCCGAAAGUGAUCAAAUUGGUGGUCCCGGGACCUUCAUCGCCCUCGAGGACUUCGACGCUCUUGAUGGCUUGCAGGAGGACCCUAGGGAUGAGGUUAUCGGCGUCGAGGACAGUGGCCUUGAACAUCUUGGCCGGAGGGAU